rnacentral:lncRNA from 1 species
AUUGGGCUUAGCCAACUAUUAUACGUAUCUCCCAACUUCAACGCUUUUCUCUCUCAAUUGAAAUUGGAGUCUGAUUCUAACAGUUUCCAAAAGUCGGAUUUUUCACCACUGUUAAAGGCUGUCUAUGAAAACAUGAACUUGUGUGAUGAGUUUCAUAAUGAAACACACAGAUUCCGAAAGUCAUAACUCAAGUCUUGUUGUUACAGAGGAUUAUACUUUUAUUUUUGAAUGUGAAAACAUAUACAAAUGAACAAGUGUCUCAAGGAGACAAUGGACCUGAAAACAGUGACACAACAGAACUUGUGUCAUCACGAUUAAGCCUAAAGACAGGACUUCCACUUCCAAAUCCACCAUUCAUGCUUCGAUUUGAUAUUCGCCUAUUGCUGCUAGCUGGCCUUGCCAUGUAAAAAUUAUCUCCCUCAGCCACAGGUUGUGGAAUGCUCAUCUUCUUCAUUUCCUGCAUUUUAUUGUCAAUCAGCUUAUUGUAUUCUUGCAACAUUGCAACAAGAGGUACCUGGAUAACUCUUAACAGGUGAUGAUUACUCUAUCUAAUUUAGAGUUUCUCUUUGUUAAUUCAAAAAGGCAUCAAGUUGUGUUACCUCAUUGUAUAAGAAGACUUUCUGUCUUUCUACCUCCCAGCUCUUAGCCUUAACCAAUAUAGAUUCCACUAAUCCUGGUCCAAAUAUUAUAGAAGGGUCAGUGACUAGUUUGCUUCCUAACUUAAGAAAAUGCAGGGUCAUUUGUAGCUUUAUUUGUGUUGGACCCUAAGGAACUGCUUAUAUUACCUGAGAUUUUGCUGACUGUUAUGCGUGCCCGUUCUGCUCUCCUUAGGUUUCGAUGAGCAUUUCUACUUACUGAGUACCGAUUCUCGUCCUGUGACAACGUUAGUGUUUCUUGUAUGAGUUAGACUACAGAGAUAACAUUUAGUUACUUUCAUAGAAAAGAGAUUGGAACCUGGUCAUAUUCUUCUAGCCAGCGCUCUUCAUCACUUGCCAACAUCCACCUAUCAACUUUUUCAAUUAUUCCUUUUCUACUUGCUGCUUCUUCCUUUGCUCUUGCUAUCUUUUCAUCCAUGGCGGCUAGAAGGUCAACAUGGUCAACUUCCCCUUUGAAAUAGAGGACAAAACUCUGCAAUGAGUUUGACAUGUAUAACAAAGACACGCAGCAGUUGCAGAAAGUUACAAUUAGUCAAACCAGAGUCUACAAGUUGAUCUAGUCUCUUGACUUCAGCCUCAGCCUUGGGAAAAAUUUGCACAAAGAAAAGGCGGUUACCACCAGCCAUCAUUGGAGCACACACGUCUGAUGGUGCGGACGACAGUAAAUCAAUGACAUGAAAAAACUUUUGACGAUCUUCAUAAGAUGCAUCCAUCAGAUUCCACAGGUUCGAUAAAGCUCUACCAAGAUGGUGAAGCUGCACACAUGAUGUCUUAAAAGUUCAGAUAAGAUAACAACCUCUUUUCUCUUUGAUAAAUGUGCAUCUCUUUACUGAUUUGUGUUUCAACUUAUAUCUGUUAAGUUUUAUGUUCUUAGGAUAGAUAAUGAAUUGAAACAUUUCUAGUUAGCUUCACCUUUUCAAGGCGCUUGUGCUUUUCCUCUUCCAGAGACACAACAGUGCCAUUAAGCUUUUUUAAGAUAUCAUCACUGAUGUUUUUGGAUAUUCCAUAGAGGUCGUUCAAGCUUGGGUGAAUCUUUGUUAUGAUCAUUGAUGCUUCUGUUCCCAAUGUUGCUGAUAGAUCUCGAAUGGCGCAUAUGUAUAUAUCAACCUUCUGUAGUCUCUCAUUCUUGUGUGACAGAACAAUGAAAGACAACAUGAUGGAGAAGCCAAAACUGUCUGAUAAGUAAAACACAUGCAUGUUGACCAAAAAAAAAACAUUGUUCCCAAUUUGGUAUUACAAAAUGUACCUUCUCAUCAUGGAGUCUAUGCAGUUCAUUCUGAUAUUCCUCAAGUUUUUUAUUAGAAAGAUCGUUGUCAUCUAUGGUUAUCUUUCUAGUUGAGUCUUCAUAUGUCGAUCUACCUGCUAUUUCUGCUGAUAUUUUCUGAAUUUCCCCUUUGACAGAUCGGAACUGCUUCACUCUCUCGUCUUUCCUAAGCCUCAUCUCACGCAGUGCAGGCGCAAUAGAAUCCAGCUGCUCCCUCAGUGUUCCUCCCUUUUUCUCCGGCUGUAUAGAGAAUGACAACAAAAUUAUCUAUGAUAGGUACUGAUCUUUCACCGAGGCACAAAAGAAAAUGGGUGAGUUCGGCUUCAGAUUCUGCCAGCUCUUGAUGUAGACGAGACCUCGAAACAUUGGCAUGGUCAACUUUUCUCCGGACGUAUCCAACAACGAUGAGCUUCUCAUUUCUAUCGGUGUCUGAAGCGAACCCAUAUUCGGAUGGAUAAUUCUGCAAUGUUUUCUUUUCUUUUCUGCAGCAAUUGAGGUAUUAGCUUUGUGCUAUUGGUGCAGGUUUUGCUUUGAAGACAAGUGUGAAAGUGACACAUAUUCUGCUACAGAAGCUUCUUGUUUAAGUGAAGGCUCAUCCGCAUCUCCCUCCUCCUCUUUGAUUCUUCAGUUUAUGUCUCUUUCUCUUUCUCUCUCUCAACUUCAUCUGAAUUUGGUAAAGCUUAGAAGUCGCUUUUGUGCUGAUGCGUUUGCUUCUGCUGUAUGAAAAGCCAGAGAGAGAUGUUUUUUUUUGUAUAUACUACACAAAACUUGAUUCGUAAGCAAACCUGUAGUGCUAACUUUUUUGCUUAUUACUGUUUUAUCUGAACACAAAAUCGAAAUAGACAGAGAUUCUUCACCAUGUGGGUUCUUACAACAUAGCUUCUUUUUCUUUGUGGCUUAGAUUUUGGUUAUCAAGUUCUUUCUGAAUUUCCCCCCCCCCCCC